rnacentral:rRNA from 1 species
CAUGCAAGUCGAACGAGGUCCAUCCGAUCUUCGGAUUGGUGAAGACCUAGUGGCGAACGGGUGCGUAACACGUGAGAAACCUGCCCCGGUCUCUGGAAUAACAGUUGGAAACGACCGCUAAUACCGGAUGCCGUCGGACCAUCGCACGGUGGACCGACGAAAGGGUUACCGGACUGGGAGGGUCUCGCGGCCUAUCAGCUUGUUGGUGAGGUAACGGCUCACCAAGGCAUCGACGGGUGGCUGGUCUGAGAGGAUGAUCAGCCACACUGGGACUGAGACACGGCCCAGACUCCUACGGGAGGCAGCAGUAGGGAAUAUUGCACAAUGGGCGAAAGCCUGAUGCAGCAACGCCGCGUGCGGGAAGAAGGCCCUAGGGUUGUAAACCGCUUUCAGCAGGGAAGAAAAUGACGGUACCUGCAGAAGAAGGUGCGGCCAACUACGUGCCAGCAGCCGCGGUGACACGUAGGCACCAAGCGUUGUCCGGAUUUAUUGGGCGUAAAGAGCUCGUAGGCGGUUCAGUUAGUCGGGUGUGAAAACUCUGGGCUCAACCCAGAGAGGCCACUCGAUACUGCUGUGACUAGAGUGCGGUAGGGGAGCGGG